rnacentral:rRNA from 1 species
CGGGGCUUAAAGUCUUGUAAUUGGAAUGAUGGGAAUUUAAACCUCUUCCAGAGUAUCAAUUGGAGGGCAAGUCUGGUGCCAGCAGCCGCGGUAAUUCCAGCUCCAAUAGCGUAUAUUAAAAUUGUUGCAGUUAAAAAGCUCGUAGUUGAAUUUCUGCUGCAUUGCUUGUGUCCCUCUGGGGUCUGUGCAUGUGGCUUUUUUCGGACGGAGUUUCUUUGUCUGAAUGUUUACUUUGAGAAAAUUAGAGUGCUCAAAGCAUGCUUUCGCCUUGAAUAGUUUAGCAUGGAAUAAUAAAGUAGGACUUUGGUUCUAUUUUGUUGGUUUUAGGUACCAAAGUAAUGGUUAAUAGGAACAGUUGGGGGCAUUCGUAUUUAACUGUCAGAGGUGAAAUUCUUAGAUUUGUUAAAGACGAACUACUGCGAAAGCAUUUGCCAAGGAUGUUUUCAUUAAUCAAGAAC